GACGAACCGUGCGAACGUUGUUCGGAAUCACUGGGCUUAAAGGGCGCGUAGGCGGGCUUGCAAGUCCGGGGUGAAAGCCCCCGGCUCAACCGGGGAAGUGCCUUGGAAACUGCAAGCCUCGAGGGGGGUAGGGGCCCGCGGAACUUCGGGUGGAGCGGUGAAAUGCGUUGAUAUCCGAAGGAACGCCGGUGGCGAAAGCGGCGGGCUGGACCCCUUCUGACGCUGAGGCGCGAAAGCCAGGGGAGCAAACGGG
rnacentral:rRNA from 1 species